rnacentral:rRNA from 1 species
UACAGAGACCUCAAGCGUUAUCCGGAAUCAUUGGGCGUAAAGCGUGCCGAUAGGUUGUGUAUUUAGUCUUGGGUAAAAGCCAGAAGCUUAUCUUCUGAGUUUGCUUAAGAUACUGAUACACUAGAGGGGCAAAGAGGUGCUUGGAACGAAUGGUGUAGUAGUGAAAUGCGUUGAUAUGACACAGAACACCGAUUGCGAAGGCAGCUCACUAAACUGUAACUGACGCUGAGGCACGAAAGCGUGGGGAGCAAACAGG